rnacentral:ncRNA from 2 species
GACGGAGGGUGCUAGCGUUGUUCGGAAUCACUGGGCGUAAAGGGCGCGUAGGCGGCGCCGCGAGUCGGAUGUGAAAGCCCGGGGCUCAACCUCGGAGGUGCAUCCGAUACUGCGGUGCUCGAGGUCGGAAGAGGAGGGUGGAAUACCCAGUGUAGAGGUGAAAUUCGUAGAUAUUGGGUGGAACACCGGUGGCGAAAGCGGCUCUCUGGUCCGGACCUGACGCUGAGGCGCGAAAGCGUGGGGAGCAAACAGG